UUUAGGCAGUGCCCACUGUAACAUGGUCAUGGUAUGGUAUUUGUCUCCAAGGCUGACAUGCAGCUACAGUCUGUGCUGGGCUUCUGGCUGACUUCUCAGUUCCUGGGCAUCAGAGAAUGAACUGUGUGAGAGACAUGAAGGGCCUCCAGAAGCCCAUGCCAUCUGUGAACCACAGGUGCAGUUAUUCAGAUAAGAGCAGACUUCUCCUGAGCCUCCUACUGCCCUCCCUGAAUCCACAGUUCUGCCCUUGAUCACCAACAUCUCUGAAGACUCAUCACUGCACCUGGAAAAGUUUUUGACUCCACUAUGACUUUGAAGUGAACUUUAACUUC